ensembl:lncRNA
CCCCUAUUUUGGUUUAUAAAUGUCCCAUUUUUGGACUCGUGGAGGAAAAUGAGAAAUAAAUCGGUCCUCUUUGUGUCAGAGCAAAGCAUGGGAGUCGCACCACGCGUGACGCCUGCAUGGCAGCACACACCGAGCCGCGGAGACGUCACACAAGCAGAUGUGCCACAGCCCUUUGGAGCAGUGAGCGAACGAACCAGUUGCACAUCUGCACUGAGCAAGCCAAAGCAUGAAUCCUGAAGGCACGAGUGGAAACAAAGAGGUCAGUGCCUUCAGAGCCCCCAGCUCUGUGCACACGGUGCCGGCCCAUUGCCCACCAGCAGCGUGGGGCUGCAGUGGGGGCUGUGGGGCUUCAUGCUGCAGCUGCCCCAGAGAAGGCCAGCAGAGACCCUGCUGGUGUGCAUCACCAUUGGAAACAAGAGGGGGAAUGGGUGUUGCUUAGCAAUGCACUACGGCACGCUCCAGUCCUGGGGAAUGGGCAAAGAGCUGUCAGAAACCCCAGCAUUAUUAUUACUAUUAUUGCAAGAGCACCCGGAUGCACACGGCGCUUUGCAGACAAAAGUAAUCGGUGGUCCUUCAGCCUGUGGAGCUGCAGUGGCACAGGAUGCUGCCCCAGGCAGCAGUGGACACGGGCUGUGGAGCAGAACAGCACAGCAUGGCCCCUUUUGGCCCUCUCCCUGCACCCACUGAUGGUGUGGGAAAGUUUCUUUCUGAGCACGUUAAAGUGAGAAGUGAGCGCUGCCAAACUUCACUUUGCAUCUCUCUGUCCCGGGCUGCUGAAGCUGCAGUGCAGCCGCUGGUGCACGGUGUUGAUCUGAGCUGGUGUGCACCUGAUUGCUUCGUUACCGGGUCGGCUGUCACAUCCAUAGGAGCAGUGUCACGUUCUGAAGGACCCAUUAACACCUGUUGUGUGUGGGGGGGUAUCCUGCAGGCUCUGCAAACCGUGCCGGCUGCUUGCUGUGCGAGAUGGACGUUUCCUUCUGGUGUGGCUGCUCUGAUGUACACACAGACACCUCGCUUCCAAAGGCAGACACACAGCUGCUGUUGCACUGGAGCAGCCCUGGUAGUGGGUCAUUGUACUGCUCUGAGCAUCUCUGGCACUGGGACCCAAAUAUAACACGAGCACUUGAUCCGGCACACAUUUCGGAUAACAGAAAACUUCCUACAGCUUUUAAUGAGUUCUGGACCGGGUCCCAGGUCGUCGUCAUGCUGUUUUGUGAAAUUACUGAGAUUUAUGUCCAGCUAUUUAAUAUCAGCCUGAAAAAAGACCCCAAAGCCCUGCCCCCGCUCAGCAACGUGUCGUGCUCCCCAGCCAAAGACUUUAAUCUUUCAUCUUGUUUGGUUUUUUCCCUCUGCGCUGAUGGUUUUUUUUCCUAACUCGGCCACCUCAGCACAACGUUUUGCAGGCACCUGGCAGAGCGCAAUGCAGCAGCUGCAGGCAGGCCGUGGCUUCCAGGAGGUCAGACGGUGAGCGGUGCAGGGCAGCCCUCCCCAUUGGGGUCCGGCAGUGCCCAUCUCCAGCUGGAGCCGCCGUGGAGGGGCCGUGCUGUGCCGGGGAGCUCCGAGCCGAUCGUUUUAAUACCAGAGCGACACCAAAGGGGGUCAAGUAAAUAAAUAUGCAUGCCUCACUAGUUCAAAAUAAUAAAAUUCCAAUGUGUGCAAGCCUGCUUGUUGAACAUAUGUUUGCGGCACGGCUAAGCCAUCUGGCUCAAUGUCAAGCAUUUACACCAACUGCAGUCUUACACUACCUGACAGCAGAAAAGCUUUAUUCCCCUGGUGUUUGGGCACAAAUGGAGAAAUAUUAUUGAAAUGAUUAUCUGCAUCAAGACUCAGAUUUGGUUUGACAUUUAGCUGGCUCUGUUUAAUCCAAAGGGUUGUCUGAAUGAAUAAAGAGAAGGGUUCCUCCAGAAGAUGCUGCGAGCGGCCGGGAGAGCCAAAUGAUUAAUGAGAGCCGGAGCCGGGCGCACCCUGCCCACCUCCACCCGCAUCGGGAAUGAGGACGCACUGCAGCCUGGUGGGAUGCGCACAGCCACAGUUCUGGGCAGAAGGGACUGGGAAGGACUGCUCCACAUCCCGGCUAAAUCCAUCUACGGGAAGUCCCAGGGCGCAUCCCUGCAUCAGAGCCGGUGCUGCAGGAGAGGAGAGCGUCCCGUGCCGUCCUGGUGCCGUGCAGAGGGCGCGUUGCAGGUCUGGAGAGGGUCCAUCCCGGCUCCUUUGUAGAAAGGUGUGCCGUGACACAGGAACAAAGGAAGAACAAGAGCGCGAAGUUUGGAGCAAGUUAAUAAAAAGCGAGUGGGAGCAGGAUUUGUUUGAACUCACAGGGCUCGCACUGACAGAGACAAAUCUAUCCGAGGAAUCAGGCGUGCUACAUCUGAAAAUAAAAUGGGAUGGAGCUGCAGAGCACGGGGUGAUGAGCAGCGUUACGGCCCAGAGAGCCGCUCUGCCUGGGAGUGCUGAGCAAAGAGCCCCUCCCUCCCCCCGGGAACGCACUGUACCAUUUUAUUCCCCUUUUUCUUUACAUUUCCACUUCCGAUCGCUGAUUUGGAUUUAAAAUUAAUUUGGUGAUUUGAGUUUAAUAAGAAUGUUAGACAUGAUUUCCUUCUCACUCUUACUUUUAAUUAACUUUUUAAUUGAGAUUUAAAUGAAUUCUAAUGAACAG